ACACCGAUGGUGAAGUGGUUAUCAUGCUUGCCUUCCAUUGAACGGGAAUCGAACGGGAAUCGAACCCGUCGGUAGCAAGCGGCACGGGUUCGAUUCCCGUUCGGUGUA